UUAUCGCUCUCGGCCUUUUGGCUCAGAUCAAGUGUAGUAUCUGUUCUUAUCAGUUUAAUAUCUGAUACGUCCCCAUCGGGGGACUACAUAUUAAAUGGAUUUUUCGAACAGGGAGUCGGAAAUGGGGCUUGCUCCGUCCGCUCCACGAUCGACCCGGUAUUGCAGUACCUCCGGGAACGGUGCAACACUU
rnacentral:snRNA from 1 species